CAUACUUUUGAACACUAUUUUGAAACAAUGCUCAAUUCUAUCUUUCCAUGUUAAUCUGAAUUGACUCUGGAUUUGGAGAAACCUAUUAUUGUUACUGAUUGAGCACAAUAACCUGCCUAUGUCAUUAUCUGAAUCUUUACCGAUGUUUUCAAAAGGUCCCAAGUAGUAUUGUUCACAUAUGUGAGGGUUAAUGACAAGGUCUGAUGCUAAACUAAUAUGUGAACAGUCUAUUGACGCAAUAACAUCUGUAUCCCAAAGCUGUUGCAACUCUAAACUGUGUACUAUUCAUCUAUCUUUGAGAUGUUUGAUUCCAAUUGUUAGGUUCUUUAGUAAAAACAGUAUGAUGUUCCAGCCUAUGUGUGUAAUUAGAAAUUUGAGCUUCAUGUAUGUCUAUGUUAAUCAAUCACCUAGAACUGGAAGUAUUGUUGUAAGAAAUGGGAACUGUUCUUGUGUUCUUCAUAUUAUCCUGUUAAGAAGUUGGUAUUCUCUUUGCAAAUUUAGUAUACGGGCAUGUGUUCUUCUUUGCUAGCCCUCUGUAAUUCAUAUGUCGACACGCAUUUCACCUCAAAUGAAUUCUGUUAAGAGUUAUUGAAAGCUACUCUAUCUUUAAUAUGCAUUUCAACUCAAUAAGUUUAUAUGUAUGUCUAUGUUAAUCAAUCACCUAGAACUGGAAGUAUUGUUGUAAGAAAUGGGAACUGUUCUUGUGUUCUUCAUAUUAUCCUGUUAAGAAGUUGGUAUUCUCUUUGCAAAUUUAGUAUACGGGCAUGUGUUCUUCUUUGCUAGCCCUCUGUAAUUCAUAUGUCGACACGCAUUUCACCUCAAAUGAAUUCUGUUAAGAGUUAUUGAAAGCUACUCUAUCUUUAAUAUGCAUUUCAACUCAAUAAGUUUAUCGAUUUGGGACAUUCCUGAUUUGCACAUUGAGAUCAUCUCCUGUAUGAAAGGUAUUCUUGUGUAUUCAGUCAAUUAACAUCUCUGUUUGAAAGUACAUGACAUUUGGUGUUUUGUUUCUUUUAUUAGUUAGAAGAUCAACCAUAUAGGUAAGGUCUAGGAUGACUGUUUCAUUGCUUUCUAGUAUAUUUAGCUGGCUUAAUUGAGUUUGAACCUGGAUAAUUGACAAAGUUAGAAUGUCCAUGAUUGUGGUUUAAUGUUGAAUCACACUGAAUGUAUGUGUUCGGAUUUAUUUUGUUUUCCUUCUAUUGUUCGAAAAUCUUUCGGCAUUGUUACUGCUAUAAAGAAUUAUGCUCGUUUGAGCUACUGAAGACAGCCAAUUUGAGCAAUAAAUUGAGCCGACAACCUGCAGUAUAUUUAGAGAAUUGACUAAAAUGUAGAGACCUAAAAUGAUUUUUCUCUUUUUCCAAAUAGGCUAAGGGUGUACAACUGGCCACCCUUCAAUUGUUGUAGCUCCGCUCCUGUCUAUGUAGAGAAUUGACUACAAAAAGUACAAUUGACUGAACUGAUAAUUAGUUGCAUAACAAAUAGUAGAGACCUCUAUUUCUUGGAGAAUAGCACAAUGUCAUAGUUUAUCGUUUGCCAUAUAGGCCUUAUGGGAAAACAAGAAAUCUAGCAUUUUUAACUUUUCACUGAAACAAGAUUGUUAGAGUUCUUUAUUAUGAUAUAAAUAUCAUAAUAAAGAUUGCUAGACUUUUUUUGCUCACUAUGAGUAGGCUGUUGGACACUAUCGAAUCAAUUUGAUUUUAGCAAUUAGGUACAUAUUAAAAUGCACUAACAUUCGAUUGUCUUCGCUUGCAUAUAAAUUUUUGUUAUCAUGGUCGGCUUUGCCAGUAGAAUUGGAUAUGGCUUUCAGUGACUUCUAAGCCAAGACUUAUAUGUCCCGCAAGUUGGUAUAUAGCAUAUAAAUUUCCAUCUGCCUGGCUCCCUGUAUGUGUAUAUAGCAUCCUCAAUUGCUUCAGCUUGAUCCUGUUGUGACUCUUUUCUUCAUCUCUGCAUCUGCUGCAUAUCUGUGUGUUGGUGCCCAUUUUGCUAGCACCAAAAGUUGUUUCCUGCUGCACUUUUUUGUGUGAGAGUGAUUGACUUACUACUGGUGUUGAUAAGGUGUUAGCCUCGACCAUUUUGUGCCUAUCGUUAGUUUCUUUCCGGUGGAAUGAGUUCUAUGCACUAAUACCACCAACUAGAAUUUCACCAACGAGUAGGGAAUAGACACAGCAUUUGGCUGACUUUGGCUGAAUUUGGCUGGAAUUGGGACAAAGGGUAUGGUUAUGCCGUGCAACAUUUGGUUGUUCUUGCUAUAGAGAAAUUUGAGCGUAAUAUGAUGGUUUUGGUUGUUGGGCAGGACUCAAGUGCUGUAAGUGCAUUAUUGCAGUUCAAUGUUUAUUUUUUUUAUGGAAUUUGAAAGGUAUGUUGAAGUGAAGUUCAUUAAUCAAUGCAUUAUCAUCUUAAAAAUGUGAAAAGAAGGCAUAUUCAGACAUGAAAAAUAGUUGUAGAUUUGUGAUUGGUGGUCUAUACUUCCUCAGACACAGGAGCUUGGUUGGCAGGCGGUUAAAAGUUCCUUAACCUCAAUUACACAAGCACUCUUCUUAGAUAGUUAGAUGCUUCGAACUGCAGAUUAGCUGUUUCAAUACUCACUGUUUGAGUCCAAAUGUCAAAUGUGCAUAACAUGGGAGCAAUUUUGUGGGCAUGAUCAACUAGUUCACUUUAGUGGUUAUAAAUUACUAUUCUGUUCUUGAAUUUUAUCAUGUACUAAAUCAGCUAGGAGGCUGCAUGAUAUAUCUAUAGGAAGCUGCAUUAAACUUUCUUAUUUUGGCAUAAUUUUGGGUUUUAACAAACUACAGUGUUGUGGAGCAUAUCUUAUUCUUUUCUUGAUAGGAAAGUUGGAAACUUUGCUAGGAUAACUCAGAAGAGUUAAUUACAAAGUUGAGCUUCUUGAUUAUCUAUCCUUAUUUUUCUUAUCCUGGCCCUAAUAUAUUGGAUGAUAAAUCAGCAGCUGGUUUAUCUAUUCUCUCAUGUGAAUAUGCCUUCUUCCUAAUUGUUGUUGUUGACAUUAAUAUACAUUAUAUAUCUUUA
rnacentral:lncRNA from 1 species